rnacentral:rRNA from 1 species
GGUUAAGUGACUAAGCGUACACGGUGGAUGCCUUGGCAGUUGGAGGCGAUGAAGGACGUAUUAACUUGCGAUAAGCCUAGUCAAGCUAGUAAAAAGCGCUUGAGACUAGGAUUUCCGAAUGGGGAAACCCACCUGCUUGCAGGUAUCGUUAACUGAAUACAUAGGUUAACGAGGCGAACGCGGAGAACUGAAACAUCUAAGUACCCGUAGGAAAAGAAAUCAACCGAGAUUCCGAAAGUAGCGGCGAGCGAAAUCGGAACAGCCCUUAAGCUUAUUAUGUGUUAAUGGAAGGCUCUGGAAAGUGCCACGAUACAGGGUGAUAGUCCCGUACAUGAAAAGACAUUUUAAGUGAAAUCGAGUAGGUCGGAGCACGUGAAACUUUGACUGAAUAUAGGUGGACCAUCAUCUAAGGCUAAAUACUCCCAACUGACCGAUAGUGAACCAGUACCGUGAGGGAAAGGCGAAAAGAACCCCUGUGAGGGGAGUGAAAUAGAACCUGAAACCGUGUACGUACAAGCAGUAGGAGCCUACUUGUUAGGUGACUGCGUACCUUUUGUAUAAUGGGUCAGCGACUUAUAUUUUGUAGCGAGGUUAACCGUAUAGGGUAGCCGUAGGGAAACCGAGUCUUAACUGGGCGAAUAGUUGCAAGGUAUAGACCCGAAACCCGGUGAUCUAGCCAUGAGCAGGUUGAAGGUUGAGUAACAUCAACUGGAGGACCGAACCCACUAACGUUGAAAAGUUAGGGGAUGACUUGUGGCUAGGAGUGAAAGGCUAAUCAAACCGGGAGAUAGCUGGUUCUCCCCGAAAUCUAUUUAGGUAGAGCCUCGGACGAAUACUUACGGGGGUAGAGCACUGUUAAGGCUAGGGGGUCAUCCCGACUUACCAACCCUUUGCAAACUCCGAAUACCGUAAAGUAAUAUCCGGGAGACACACGGCGGGUGCUAACGUCCGUCGUGAAGAGGGAAACAACCCAGACCGCCAGCUAAGGUCCCAAAGUCAUAGUUAAGUGGGAAACGAUGUGGAAAGGCCCAGACAGCCAGGAGGUUGGCUUAGAAGCAGCCAUCCUUUAAAGAAAGCGUAAUAGCUCACUGGUCGAGUCGGUCUGCGCGGAAGAUGUAACGGGGCUAAACUAUGCACCGAAGCUGCGGAUUCAACGUUUACGUUGAGUGGUAGGGGAGCGUUCUGUAAGCCGUUGAAGGUGGUCCGGGAGGAUUGCUGGAGGUAUCAGAAGUGCGAAUGCUGACAUGAGUAACGAUAAUGCGGGUGAAAAACCCGCACGCCGGAAGACCAAGGGUUCCUAUCCCAUGUUAAUCAGGGUAGGGUAAGUCGACCCCUAAGGCGAGGCCGAAAGGCGUAGUCGAUGGGAAACGGAUUAAUAUUUCCGUACUUGGUAUAAUUGCGAUGGGGGGACGGAGAAGGCUAAGCAAGCAUGGCGAUGGUUGUCCAUGUGAAAGUGAGUAGGGCGUUUGUUUAGGUAAAUCCGGACGAACAUUAAACCUGAGACACGAGACGAGUCACCAAGGUGAUGAAGUUGUUGAUGCCAUACUUCCAGGAAAAGCCUCUAAGCUUCAGAUUAUACCGAAUCGUACCCCAAACCGACACAGGUGGUCAGGUAGAGAAUACUAAGGCGCUUGAGAGAACUCGGGUGAAGGAACUAGGCAAAAUCGUACCGUAACUUCGGGAGAAGGUACGCUCCUAUCUGUGAUGAGACUUGCUCUCUAAGCGGACGGGAGCCGCAGUGACCAGGUGGCUGGGACUGUUUAUUAAAAACACAGCACUGUGCAAAAUCGCAAGAUGACGUAUACGGUGUGACACCUGCCCGGUGCCGGAAGGUUAAUUGAUGGGGUUAUC